UGGCCCCGCAUGAGGGUUACGGCCUCUUUUGUUGUGACAAGAAGAUCACUGAAGUUACUGAGAAAGACCGGAACAGUCUGAAGAAACUCCACCCCGGCACUGAGAAAUUACAAGAAAAGGUUACCCAAAGACAGAAGGGGAGAGAAGAAAGGAGGAUUGGAGAUUUCUGCAUUCACUUCAUGUGACAUGAUGUUAUAGCUACAAGGAAGAGAGCAGAGCUGGUAUGAAGAGAUUUGUACCAUGGCUAAUAACAUUAUAAUAAAGUUGCCUGUCGUGCGAAUAUCCGUGCGGAGAGACACAGACACGACAACAGCCAAGGCAACCUUACAAUGCCCAGCAGGUUCAUCAGGAAUCAUUCGUCAGAAAAGGACUCGCGCACGGAACAAGCUGGGUGUCGUACAGCAACUGAGCUGCGUCUGUCUGCACCUAUAUAUACAGAACAGGCAGAAGAACAACGCUGGACUUGUCCUGAUAAUAUCGGAAAUAACAGAACCCCAAGUAG